UCGUCCUCCGGCUCCGGCUCGGGUCUGGCGCUCGCUGGGCGAAGGGCCGGGCGGGGCUGCGGGGCCGGGCCGGGCAGGCCGCGGCGGCGCGGGGCCGGGCCGGGCCUCCUCCGCCUCCUCCUUCUCUUCGGGCCUCGCUCCUCCGCUGGCCACGGGCGGCGCCGGCCUCGGGCUCUCUCUCACCGGCCUCCUCCGCGGCGGCGGCGGCUCCGCGGCGGCUCCGAUCCCAACAUGGCGGCUCCGCGGCGGCGGGGCCUGGGCCUCCCUCGGGUUCUCCCGGCGGCGGCGGCGGCGGCGGCGGCUGCGGGCGGAGAAGGGAGGCGGGCGGGCGGGGAGGGGCAGGCCCGCGGCGGUGGCGGCGGCGGCGCUAGAGGCUCCCUGGCUCCCUCACUGGCCCCGGGGCGCCGCGCUCGGGCGGCGGCGGCGGCGACGGCGGCCGGGGCUCAUGGCCGGCUCGGGCUCGCGGCAGCAGCGGCGGCGCUCGCUCGCUCGCUCGUCCUCUCCUUCGCUCCUUCUCUGUGUCUCGGCUCCGGCGCGAGGCCGCCCCGCUCGGCUCCCCGCCCGCCCGCGAGCCUGCGAGCCUCGAGCCAGCCAGAGGCGGCGCGAGGGGGAGAGCGCGAGCCUGCGGCCUCCGCGCGCUCACGUGCCCAAAACACGCUCACGUGACGCGCCGACGCAGGCCCCGCCCCCGGGCGCCGGGCUGGCAUCCCCGCCGCGGCCGCCGCCGUGGCCGUUUGUCCGUCACUCCCUCCCCCGGCGCCGCGGCGCAUGAGGCUGGGGGGGCGGCGGGGGCGCGACCAGGCUCUCCCCCUCCCCGUUCCCCUCCCUUUCCCACCCUACCCCAGAACCGGAAAGAGCUCCAGGCGCCCGCAGCGAGCCCCAUCCCCCAUUGUCCCCCGGGGCGCUCUGGCCCCGGGCGGGGGGGGGUCUGCCUCCUAAUCCCUCGGACUCGGCUCCCGGUCCCGGCGUGUCCACGUGCCUCUGGGGCUCCUCUCCCUGUCUCUGACCUCUGUCUCUUCCUUCUUGUCUCUCUGACUGUCUCUCAGUCUCCUCAUUCUUAUCUCUCGGUCUCUAUCUCUCUGUAUCUCCCCUCUCUGUCUCUAUCCCUCUGUGGGUCUUUGUGUCUGUCUCUUCUUUCUUGUCUCUCGAUCUCUCUGUUUCCUCUUUCUUGGUUUUUUUUUUAUAUUUGGUUAGGCAGUGGGGUUAAGCGACUUGCCCAGGGUCACACAGCUAGUGUUAUGUGUGUGAGGCUGGAUUUGAACUCAGGUCCUCCUGAAUCCAGGGCCAUUGCUCUAUCCAUUGUGCCACCUAGCUGCCCCUGUUUCCUCUUUCUUAUCUCUCUGUAUCUCCCCUAUCUCUAUCACUGUGGGUUUCCUCUCUGUCUCUUCUUUCUUGUCUCUAUCUCUGUGUCUCCUCUUUCUUAUCUCUCUCUACCUCUCUGUCUUCCUUCUCUGUCUGUCUUAAUGUCUGUCUCUUUUCUUUGUCUCCCCCCUUCUAAUCUCUCUGUCUCUAUGUGUCUCCUCUUUCUUAUCUCUCUGUCUCUGUGUUUCUGGGUCUCCUCUCUGUCUUCUUCUGUGUCGUCUUUCUUGUCUCUCUGUAUGUCUCUGUGCCUCCUCUUUCUUAUCUUUCUGUUUCUAUCUCUUCUCUCUGUCUCUGUCUGGGUCUCCUCUCUGUCUUCUUUCUUGUGUCUCUGUAUGUCUCUGUGUCUCUUUGUUAUCUCUCUGCCUCUAUCUCUCUGUAUCUCCCCUCUCUGUCUUUAUCUCUCUGUGUCUCCUCCCU
rnacentral:lncRNA from 1 species